GAUGAACGCUGGCGGCGUGCCUAAUACAUGCAAGUCGAGCGAACAGAUGAGGAGCUUGCUCCUCUGACGUUAGCGGCGGACGGGUGAGUAACACGUGGAUAACCUACCUAUAAGACUGGGAUAACUUCGGGAAACCGGAGCUAAUACCGGAUAAUAUAUUGAACCGCAUGGUUCAAUAGUGAAAGACGGUUUUGCUGUCACUUAUAGAUGGAUCCGCGCCGCAUUAGCUAGUUGGUAAGGUAACGGCUUACCAAGGCAACGAUGCGUAGCCGACCUGAGAGGGUGAUCGGCCACACGGGAACUGGGACACGGUCCAGACGCCUACGAGAGGCAGCAGUAGGGAAUCUUCCGCAAUGGGCGAAAGUCUGACGGAGCAACGCCGCGUGAGUGAUGAAGGUCUUCGGAUCGUAAAACUCUGUUAUUAGGGAAGAACAAAUGUGUAAGUAACUAUGCACGUCUUGACGGUACCUAAUCAGAAAGCCACGGCUAACUACGUG
rnacentral:rRNA from 1 species